GGGAACUGCGUUNUGAACUGGGUGACUAGAGUGUGUCAGAGGGAGGUAGAAUUCCACGUGUAGCAGUGAAAUGCGUAGAGAUGUGGAGGAAUACCGAUGGCGAAGGCAGCCUCCUGGGAUAACACUGACGUUCAUGCCCGAAAGCGUGGGUAGCAAACAGGAUUAGAUACCCUGGUAGUCCACGCCCUAAACGAUGUCGAUUAGCUGUUGGGCAGCAUGACUGCUUAGUAGCGAAGCUAACGCGUGAAAUCGACCGCCUGGGGAGUACGGUCGCAAGAUUAAAACUCAAAGGAAUUGACGGGGACCCGCACAAGCGGUGGAUGAUGUGGAUUAAUUCGAUGCAACGCGAAGAACCUUACCUGGUCUUGACAUGUACGGAACCCUCCAGAGACGGAGGGGUGCCUUCGGGAGCCGUAACACAGGUGCUGCAUGGCUGUCGUCAGCUCGUGUCGUGAGAUGUUGGGUUAAGUCCCGCAACGAGCGCAACCCUUGUCAUUAGUUGCCAUCAUUAAGUUGGGCACUCUAAUGAGACUGCCGGUGACAAGCCGGAGGAAGGUGGGGAUGACGUCAAGUCCUCAUGGCCCUUAUGACCAGGGCUUCACACGUCAUACAAUGGUCGGUACAGAGGGUAGCCAAGCCGCGAGGUGGAGCCAAUCUCACAAAACCGAUCGUAGUCCGGAUUGCACUCUGCAACUCGAGUGCAUGAAGUCGGAAUCGCUAGUAAUCGCAGGUCAGCAUACUGCGGUGAAUACGUUCCCGGGUCUUGU
rnacentral:rRNA from 1 species